GACGUAGGGCGCGAGCGUUGUCCGGAUUUAUUGGGCGUAAAGAGCUCGUAGGCGGCUUGUCGCGUCAACUGUGAAAACCCGUGGCUCAACCAUGUGGUCUGCAGUCGAUACGGGCAGGCUAGAGUUCGGUAGGGGAGACUGGAAUUCCUGGUGUAGCGGUGAAAUGCGCAGAUAUCAGGAGGAACACCGGUGGCGAAGGCGGGUCUCUGGGCCGAUACUGACGCUGAGGAGCGAAAGCGUGGGGAGCGAACAGG
rnacentral:rRNA from 1 species